rnacentral:tRNA from 1 species
GCCUGGGUGGCUUAGUCAGUUGAGAGUCUGACUUCAGCUCAGGUCAUGAUCUCACAGUUCAUGGGUUCGAGUCCCACACUGGGCU